CCUUCUGCCAGUAGUCAUAUGCUUGUCUCAAAGAUUAAGCCAUGCAUGUCUAAGUACAAGACUCACUAAGUUGAAACCGCGAAUGGCUCAUUGGAUCACACCUAAUCUACUGGAUAGUUACAGUUACUUGGAUAACUCGGUAAUUCUGGACGUAAUACAUGCAACAAGCCUCGAACUUACGUGAGAGGCGCUUUUAUUAGAUCAAAACCAAACGUUCUCGGGACGUAUUUUUGGUGACUCUGGAUAACUUUGAGCUGAUCGCAUUAGCCUUGCGCUGGCGACAUAUCCUUCGAAGGUGUGCCCUAUCAACUGUCGACUGUGGCAUAGACGCCCACAGUGGUUUUGACGGGUAACGGGGAAUCAGGGUUCGAUUCCGGAGAGGGAGCCUUAAAAACGGCUACCACAUCUAAGGAAGGCAGCAGGCACGCAAAUUACCCAAUGACCGCAGGUCGAGGUAGUGACGAAAAAUAACGAUACGGGACUCAUCCGAGGCCCCGUAAUCGGAAUGAGUACACUUUAAAACCGUCCCCGAGGAUCUAUUGGAGGGCAAGUCUGGUGCCAGCAGCCGCGGUAAUUCCAGCUCCAAUAGCGUAUAUUAAAGUUGUUGUGGUUAAAAAGCUCGUAGUUGGAUCUCCACAGGCUUAUGCCGGUAUGCUUGCUAGCAUUACUGGCUUAUAGCCUGUAGUUUUGCCAGAUGUGUUAGGGUGCUCUUAAUCGAGUGUCCUAUCGCACUGGCAGGUUUACUUUGAAAAAAUUAGAGUGCUCAAAGCAGGCUUUAUGCUUGAAUAUUCGUGCAUGGAAUAAUAGAAUAGGAAGUCGUUUCUAUUUUGUUGGUUUUUAAGUUUCGACUUAAUGAUUAAUAGGGACAAACGGGGGCAUUUGUAUUCAGACGACAGAGGUGAAAUUCUUGGACCGUCUGAAGACAAACUACUGCGAAAGCAUUUGCCAAGAGUGUUUUCAUUAAUCAAGAACGAAAGUUAGAGGUUCGAAGGCGAUUAGAUACCGCCCUAGUUCUACACCAUAAACGAUGCCAGCUAGCGAUCUGCCGACGUUUUUUUUGUAGACUCGGCAGGAAGCUUCCGGGAAACCAAAGCAUUUGGGUUCCAGGGGAAGUAUGGUUGCAAAGCUGAAACUUAAAGGAAUUGACGGAAGGGCACCACCAGGAGUGGAGCCUGUGGCUUAAUUUGACUCAACACGGGAAAUCUCACCAGGCCCGGACACUGGAAGGAUUGACAGAUUGAUAGCUCUUUCUUGAUUCGGUGGGUGGUGGUGCAUGGCCGUUCUUAGUUGGUGGAGUGAUUUGUCUGGUUAAUUCCGAUAACGAACGAGACUCUGUCCUGCUAAAUAGUGUGUGCUUCUCUUCUGAGCACACAAUUCUUCUUAGAGGGACUGGCAACUCUUAGUUGCACGAGAUUGAGCAAUAACAGGUCUGUGAUGCCCUUAGAUGUUCUGGGCCGCACACGCGCUACACUGAAUAGAUCAGCGUGUUUUCCCUUUCCGAGAGGAACGGGUAAACCGCUGAACCCUAUUCGCGGUAGGGAUCGGGGCUUGCAAUUGUUCCCCGUGAACUGUAGCGUUUAGAGGAAGUAAAAGUCGUAACAAGGUAAGGGCA
rnacentral:rRNA from 1 species